rnacentral:tRNA from 1 species
GGUGGGGUGCGAGAGUGGUUUAAUCGGGCGGUCUCGAAAACCGUUGUACCCUUACGGGUACCGUGGGUUCGAAUCCCACCCCCACCGCCA